rnacentral:rRNA from 1 species
ACUGCUAAUACCCGCAUCCGGUGCUAAUCUCGGCAUCCGAGGAUAGAUGAAAAGGUGGCCUCUGCAUGUAAGGCUAUACACUGAAGGAGGGGACUGCGUCUGAUUAGCUAGUUGGAGGGGUAACGGCCCGCCAAGGCGAUGAUCAGUAGCCGGUCUGAGAGGAUGAACGGCCACAUUGGGACUGAGACACGGCCCAGACUCCUACGGGAGGCAGCAGUGGGGAAUCUUCCGCAAUGGACGAAAGUCUGACGGAGCAACGCCGCGUGAGUCUUGACGGCCUUCGGGUUGUAAAGCUCUGUUUGUCGGGACGGAAGGCCUUCUUGCGAAUUUU